AAGACAUAACUAAGACGUCCAACUUCCAUACAACCCAUAGAAAUUUUUGGGCCCAUGAAGUACUAGAACAGAAAAUUCAUAUACUUUACCUGUCUCUUGAGCAACCUUGUACUUUGCUCUGAACUGAAAAUCUGUUGCUAGGAGAAAAUUGCUGUUUACUCAACAAUAAACAAUCGCGGUACACUGCUUAGUGCAUGGAACCCGGUAGAGCUGCCUUGUGGUCAUUCCAGGAGAUUAAACCAAUUUGUCGCUGACAUUUUUUAUACAUGAA